AGGGGUGUAGUUCAGUGGUAGAACGCUGGUCUCCAAAACCAGAUGCCAGGGGUUCAAAUCCUCUCAUCCCUGCCA
rnacentral:tRNA from 1 species